rnacentral:rRNA from 1 species
CCUACGGGUGGCAGCAGUGAGGAAUAUUGGUCAAUGGACGAGAGUCUGAACCAGCAAAGCAGCGUGAAGGAUGACUGCCCUAUGGGUGGUAAACUUCUUUUAUAUGGGAAUAAAAUGUUCCACGUGUGUGAUUUUGUAUAUACCAUAUGAAGAAGGAUCGGCUAACUCCGUGCCAGCAGCCGCGGUAAUACGGAGGAUCCGAGCGUUAUCCGGAUUUAUUGGGUGUAAAGGGAGCGUAGGGGGAUUGUUAAGUCAGUUGUGAAAGUCUGCGGCUCAACCGUAGAAGUGCAGUUGAAACUGGCAGUCUUGAGUACAGUAGAGGUAGGCGGAAUUCGUGGUGUAGCGGUGAAAUGCGUAGAUAUCAGGAAGAACUCCGAUGGCGAAGGCAGCUUACUGGACUGCAACUGACACUGAGGCUCGAAAGUGUGGGUAGCAAACAGGAUUAGAUACCCUUGUAGUC